ensembl:lncRNA
AUCAGUUAGACUUCUGCUGGGAAAAGGACUGCACAUAUAGUGAUGCAGACAAGCCUACACUCCACAGACCGGGGACACUCUACAAAGGGCUGGCCAGCACUCUCCAGAAAAGCCAAGGCCACGAAAGGAAACCAAAGAAAGCCAGACUGAGGCACCAUUCCAGAUUGAGGGAGCCUAAGAGACAUACAACUGAACGCAACAAGAAACAAAGACCAGAAAGAUGGGAACUUGGGCCCAGAUGGCAAAAGAGAAGAUGAGAAAAAGAAGAUGAAGAUGGCAUAGUAUUCACAGAUCAAGGAAGCAAGAAAUAACAAUAAAAGUUAUUUAAACAGAUGUUUUUAAUCUCCCUAGGGUCCAAAUAGGUCAUAAAGAUUCCUCUCCAGGAAGACAAAUAAAAUAUAAUGUCUCUUAAAUGUGGAAUAGGAAAACAAAAACAAAUCCAAACAAGCAGACUAACUUCCUCCUCAAAAUGAACUCGUACCUAUAAAGAACACAUUGGUGGUUCCAGGGUGGAGGGUGGAGGGGUGUGAGAAGUGGGUGAAGGACGUCAAAAGGUACAAACUUCCAGUUAUAAAAUAAAUAAGUCAUGGAAAUGUAAUUUACAGCAUGGUGACUAUAAUUAAUAAUACUUAUUUUAUAUUUGAAAGUUUCCAAGAGUAAAUCUUAUCAUAAAAGUACUCAUCACAAGGAAAAAACUCUGUAACUAUGUAUGGUGAUGCCGAUUAAGUAGACCUACUGUGGUGAUCAUUUUGCAAAAUACACAAACAUCAAAUCAUUAUGCCGUACACCCAAAACUAAAUAUACGUUGAUUAUAUCUCAAAAAUUCUUUAAAAAACACUCUUCUCCAAAGCUUAGACGCACAGACAUUCAUAAGAUCACCUUUAUUUCUUAUAUUCAACAGAGAAAAAUCCCUAAAAUCUUUUCCUAUAUUCAAUAAAGAAAAAUUUAUUUGAAGAGAAACUGCAGUCAGUGAGUCCCAGUUUAUAAGGAAGUACAUCUCGUUUCAAAGCAUCAUGUUACCACCCUGUGGCUUUUUGCCAGAGGACUCAAGAUUUACAGGCAAGGCCCAGAGGCUAUCUUCCACCGCAUGUGCCCGGAGGUGAAGCAUUAAGUCCAAACCUCAAAGGAGAGUCCUCACCGUUGUUGCAGAUUGUAAUGAGAGGCAAGGACACAGCUACCUGAACCGGCUCUACAAAUUUUAUUUUAUUGUAUUGAGCAACAGUAUUCACAAGAAAAACAAGUAGAUUAUAUUACCAUGAGAUUUGGAAUUAUUUAUCCGUUACUCCUUUAAAGUAUUCCUCAUAGAUAUUAAC